UGCCAGCAGCCGCGGUAAUACGGAGGGUGCAAGCGUUAUCCGGAUUCACUGGGUUUAAAGGGAGCGUAGGUGGGUUGGUAAGUCAGCGGUGAAAUCCCCAAGCUUAACUUGGGAACUGCCAUUGAUACUAUCAAUCUUGAAUUCUGUGGAGGUAAGCGGAAUAUGUCAUGUAGCGGUGAAAUGCUUAGAUAUGACAUAGAACACCGAUAGCGAAGGCAGCUUACUACGCAGAUAUUGACACUGAGGCUCGAAAGCGUGGGGAUCAAACAGGAUUAGAUACCCUGGUAGUCCACGCCCUAAACUAUGGAUACUCGACAUCAGCGAUACACUGUUGGUGUCUGAGCGAAAGCAUUAAGUAUCCCACCUGGGAAGUACGUCCGCAAGGGUGAAACUCAAAUGAAUUGACGG
rnacentral:rRNA from 1 species